AGUGUCUUUGAGAAAAGCCGUUCCAAUGGCUUGAUGGGGAGGAACUCUCCCCCGGAGUCAUCUGAAGAGAGAAUGGAAGUGAAAAAGAGUCCAUAGUGAAUCUGGGCAACUUUUCAGAGGACUUUUGAUGCCCCAGAGGGAAGGGUCCGUAGCUGGAUGGGCCCUUGGGUUGUAGAGAGACGUCUAGGUGGUUUUCAGGCUGGCUGAUUCUGCGGCACGUGUUUGCAUGUUGGUGGCAAUUGAGAGGGAGAAAUUGUUGGUGAGGUACAAAACAGGAACAGCUGUGGAGACGACAUCCCUGAGCAGGCUGGAGGGGCUGGGGCUGGCACCCAGGGGGCAGGA